GACGAACGCUGGCGGCGUGCUUAACACAUGCAAGUCGAACGGAAAGGCCCUGCUUUUGUGGGGUGCUCGAGUGGCGAACGGGUGAGUAACACGUGAGUAACCUGCCCUUGACUUUGGGAUAACUUCAGGAAACUGGGGCUAAUACCGGAUAGGAGCUCCUGCUGCAUGGUGGGGGUGGGAAAGUUUCGGCGGUGGGGGAUGGACUCGCGGCUUAUCAGCUUGUUGGUGGGGUAGUGGCUUACCAAGGCUUUGACGGGUAGCCGGCCUGAGAGGGUGACCGGCCACAUUGGGACUGAGAUACGGCCCCGACUCCUACGGGAGGCAGCAGUGGGGAAUAUUGCACAAUGGGCGGAAGCCUGAUGCAGCAACGCCGCGUGCGGGAUGACGGCCUUCGGGUUGUAAACCGCUUUCGCCUGUGACGAAGCGUGAGUGACGGUAAUGGGUAAAGAAGCACCGGCUAACUACGUG
rnacentral:rRNA from 1 species